CAGUAAUGAUCCUUCCGUAGGUGAACCUGCGGAAGGAUCAUUA
rnacentral:rRNA from 1 species